UCUAGAACUGACAAUCCCAAGCUCAACAGCAAAUCUGAUCUGAAGCCAGUGCCCAGUUUAAAUACUAUGGAAAAGUCAAAGCUGGGCAGCGAGUAAAACAAGAGGGGGGAAGAAUCAGAAGAUUGAUCUUCAGAUCCUCUUUCUUUCACGAGAUAUUCAAUCCAGACAAUUUAUCCUGGUGACAGUGGAAGAGGUAACAAAACACCCAAUGCUGAUAGUUCUGGUGGAUAACAGAGAUCA
rnacentral:lncRNA from 1 species